GAUCCCGCUUGUAAAAUCUUUUAGAGUUGUUUGAAAAAGACAAGAAAAAGGCAUACGGAGCCAAGUGCUUAUAUUCUGGCCAAGUUACGAGCCUCUGAGAACAAGAGCUUGAGGGGAGAACUGUUAACCCGUUCUCUCCGGCAGAAUGAGCUCUCUCCCUGUAGGUCUGCGCUGCCUGUAAAGCUGAGCGCGCCCUCGCCCUUGGAGUGAGAGGCUAGCCCGCUGGAGAACUGCAGGAAUCUGCAACAAAAACGAUGACAGUCUGAAAUACGUCCCUGUGCCAACCUCCAAAUUCGGCUGUCACCUCAGACCCUGAGUAGUUGACAGAGCAGCAGAAUUUCAACUCCAAUAGACCUGAAUGUGUUUCUGGGCAAAGAAGCAGAGCUAACGAGGAAAGAGAUUCAAAGAGUAUUGGGCGUUUGUGAAACUUAUUUCCUGACUGUGUGCAAAGACAGGAUUCAGCUUCAAUUUUCUGCCAAGGCUCUGGGUCCAGCCACCUACCUGAAGGUCUAGAAAAAUGAAGUCUGUGAUUUUUUUCCUAUUCAUUUUGGAAACUGCAGUUGCAAUCCCGACACAAGCAAGGUUCCUAUCUGAUCAUUCCAACCCAACUGCUGAUUCCUUGAGUUCCUUCCAACAGGCUGAAAUGUUGGUAACAUCUGAGCACACUGCAAUCCCCACUGUAAGGGCUGAAGAUGCAGAAAAUGAAACUGAAGUAUCCAUAGAAGACCAUCCCACUCAUAAGCCUGAAAAAUCUUCAGUACUAAAGUCAGAGGAGGAAAACCAUGACCAGUCAGCAGAUCAGGACCAGAGUUACAGCCAACACCUGGGAUUACAGGAUCAAGAGAAAAGUGAAAGUGACUUAAUUGAGAAUUUGGAGUAUACACCAACUGAAGGUACACUGGACCUUAAAGAAGAUAUGAGUGAGCCUCCAAAGGAAAAGCUCCCCGAGAGAUUCCUUGGUCAUGAUGUUAGUCCCACUGUAGAUUCUAAUCAACAAGAAAGCAUCACAGAGACAGAGGAAAACCAAGAACAACCUAUAAAUGACUCACAUCCUCAGUUGAACGGGAGCAGCAAACAGAGCCAAGACCUAAGUGUUCAAGGAAACCAAGAGCAGGGUCCAAAUAUCCCAAAUGGAGAUGAGGAAGAGCCAGGUAAAAUUGGUACCCACAAUGAUAACCAAGAAAGGGAGAGAGAAGUUCCCGAGCAGCAUUCUACCAGCAAUCAGGAAGAAGACAGUACACAGUCUGAUGGUAUUUUGGAAGAGUCCUAUCAACCAACUCAAGUAAGCAAGAUGCAGAAAGAUGAAUUUGAACAGGGUGGCCAAGAACAAGAAGAGGAAAACUCCAAUGCAGAGAUGGAAGAGGAAACUGCAUCAAAAAUCAGUAAGCCCAAUCAAGAUAAAGAAUGGCAGAGCCGAGAAGCACAGCCUGGCCUUGAAGUUAUCAGCAACCAUGAGGAGAUGGACAAAAAGACUCUUUCUGAGCCUUUGCUGGUGGAGCCUACGGAUGGUAACAUCAUGCCCGGAAAUCAUGGGAUUGAUGAUGACGGCGAUGAUGGCCCCAGGCACAAUGCGAGUGAGGAGUACUUCAACCCAAGCGAGGCUUUCCUGGAGAAUGAAAGAGCUCAAUCCAAUUACUAUCCCAUUAACUAUGAGGAGCAAAGAGGAAAAGCACGUGAGAAUGAGAAUGUAGAUACCAGCGAACCUGUAGAAAACCGAGGGGCCAAGAAAGCAGAAAGCUCACUGAAUGAAGAUGACCGUUCAACUGAAGGCAACACAAGGGUGCACAGUGUCGAUUCUUGCAUGAGCUUCCAGUGUAAAAGAGGACACGUCUGCAAGGCUGAUCAACAGGGAAAACCCCACUGUGCUUGCCAAGAUCCAGUGACUUGUCCUCCUACAAAACUCCUUGACCAAGUUUGCGGCACUGACAAUCAGACCUACGCCAGCUCCUGCCAUCUCUUUGCUACUAAGUGCAGAUUGGAGGGGACCAAAAAGGGGCACCAACUGCAGCUGGAUUACUUUGGAGCCUGCAAAUCUAUUCCUGCUUGUACGGACUUUGAAGUGAACCAGUUUCCUCUAAGGAUGAGAGACUGGCUCAAGAAUAUCCUCAUGCAGCUUUAUGAACCUAACCCUGAGCACGCUGGAUAUCUAAAUGAGAAGCAGAGAAAUAAAGUCAAGAAAAUUUACCUGGAUGAAAAGAGACUCCUGGCUGGGGACCACUCACUUGACCUUCUCUUAAGAGACUUUAAGAAAAACUACCACAUGUAUGUGUAUCCGGUACACUGGCAGUUCAGUGAGCUGGAUCAACAUCCUAGGGACAGGGUCUUGACCCACUCUGAGCUCGCUCCUUUGCGGGCAUCUCUGGUGCCCCUGGAACACUGCAUAACGCGCUUCUUUGAAGAGUGUGACCCCAACAAGGAUAAGCACAUCACCCUGGAGGAGUGGGGUCACUGCUUUGAAAUUAAAGAAGUUACAGUUGAUUUUUAUGAGCAAGGCUGUUUUUUAAUAAUCGAGAUAUGAAAGGUGUUCAAACAAUGAGCAAUCAAAACUGCUCACAGAAUGUAAAUCAACAAUGAACAUCAAAUCUCUAAAGCAGAGGUUUUACCCAUGUGUUCACGACAUACGUAUACGUAGGAUGACUAUGCAGCCAAGAAAUAAAGAAACAAGACAUAGAUGAAAAUCUCCUGUUUUGAAUUAAGAUUUGAAAGAACUCAAACUACCCAGCCUCCUCCUUUGUUCUGACCACUUCUGAAGUAUAUGCAGUGUGAUACUUGUAGAUUUAUAUUUAGCAAAAUGCUUGCAUGUCUGAGACGACAAUGAGAGUAACUGCUUGAUAACAGUAUAUGCACCAGGCAUUUAACAUUAACUUUGGAAAUAAAACUUUAAAAUUAAGUAAAGUCAAUAUACACAAAAUAUUGUAUACUGUUUGUGAACAGGAGUUUAACUCAUCACUCUCUGCAUCCAUUUAUGAGAUACUUAAAGAUUAUAAAACUCGAAAAAAAUAAUAAUUCAUUUUGUCCAUAAUACCAUGUGCACUUCAAAAAAGUGAAAUAAGCCUCUUUGUUGUUGAUGUGUGUUAUUUUCAGUAUCUUAAUAUCCUAAUAAAAAUCCAAAUGUUUACUCAA